GUUAGGAAUAUUGGACAAUGGGCGCAAGCCUGAUCCAGCAAUGCCGCGUGAGUGAUGAAGGCCUUCGGGUUGUAAAGCUCUUUAGUCAACGAAUAUAAUGACUGUAGUGGAAGAAUAAGCCCCGGCUACCUUCGUGCAAGAACCCGCGUUAAUACGAAGGGGGCGAGCGAUAUUCGGAAUCACUGGGCGUAAAGCGUGCGUAGGCUGUUUUGUAAGUCAGAAGGGAAAGCCCAGGGCUUAACCCUGGAAUUGCUUUUGAAACUACAAGACUCGAAUUCGGGAGAGGAUAGCGGAAUUGUCAGUGUAGCAGUGAAAUGCGUAGAUAUUGACAGGAACACCAGUGGCGCAAGCGGCUAUCUGGACCGAUAUUGACGCUGAGGCACGAAAGCGUGGGGAGCAAACAGGAUUAGAUACCCGUGUAGUCC
rnacentral:rRNA from 1 species